CGGGUGAGUAACGCGUGAGGAACCUGCCUCAAAGAGGGGGACAACAGUUGGAAAGACUGCUAAUACCGCAUAAGCCCACGGCUCGGCAUCGAGCAGAGGGAAAAGGAGCAAUCCGCUUUGAGAUGGCCUCGCGUCCGAUUAGCUAGUUGGUGAGGUAACGGCCCACCAAGGCGACGAUCGGUAGCCGGACUGAGAGGUUGAACGGCCACAUUGGGACUGAGACACGGCCCAG
rnacentral:rRNA from 1 species